rnacentral:rRNA from 1 species
AGAUUGAACGCUGGCGGCAUGCCUUACACAUGCAAGUCGAACGGCAGCACGGGAGCAAUCCUGGUGGCGAGUGGCGAACGGGUGAGUAAUACAUCGGAACGUGCCCAAUCGUGGGGGAUAACGCAGCGAAAGCUGUGCUAAUACCGCAUAAGAUCUACGGAUGAAAGCAGGGGAUCGCAAGACCUUGCGCGAAUGGAGCGGCCGAUGGCAGAUUAGGUAGUUGGUGAGGUAAAGGCUCACCAAGCCUUCGAUCUGUAGCUGGUCUGAGAGGACGACCAGCCACACUGGGACUGAGACGACGGCCCAGACUCCUACGGGAGCAGCAGGUAGGGUAAUUUUGGACAAGUCGGGGAAACCUGAUCCAGCCAGUCCCGCGUGU